rnacentral:rRNA from 1 species
GUGGGGAAUCUUGCGCAAUGGGCGAAAGCCUGACGCAGCCAUGCCGCGUGAAUGAUGAAGGUCUUAGGAUUGUAAAAUUCUUUCACCGGGGACGAUAAUGACGGUACCCGGAGAAGAAGCUCCGGCUAACUUCGUGCCAGCAGCCGCGGUAAUACGAAGGGGGCUAGCGUUGCUCGGAAUUACUGGGCGUAAAGGGCGCGUAGGCGGACAGCUUAGUCAGAGGUGAAAGCCCAGGGCUCAACCUUGGAGUUGCCUUUGAUACUGGCUGUCUUGAGUUUGGGAGAGGUGAGUGGAACUCCGAGUGUAGAGGUGAAAUUCGUAGAUAUUCGGAAGAACACCAGUGGCGAAGGCGACUCACUGGCCCAAUACUGACGCUGAGGCGCGAAAGCGUGGGGAGCAAACAGGAUUAGAAACCCGUGUAGUCC